AUUUAUCAAUUGUCACUUUCAUGUCAACCACAUAUGAGGGUCAUUUUUUAUUAUGUAGGCCAUGCCAUGCCUUUUCCAAAUUUUAAUAUCUAUAAUUGUUAUGUCAUCUUUCACUCUUAAUUUUAAUUAAUAUAUUUCCUGUCCUGAUAAAGAGACUAACCAGUCAUGAAAAUUUGCCUUUGAAGUAAACUAAUGUAACCUGCAUGAGUGUCUGGAAGCCGAUACCCAAUAAUUUAACUAACGUGUAUUGACUGCAAUAAUUCAUUGAAAUCGUCUCUCAUUGCAUCAAUCACUUUACUUGAUAGGUACUCUCAUUGAAUAAGUAUUACUUAUUUAAUGGUAUACUAUACACUAGGGAUGUAACGGAGCUUCGGUUCCGAUUCCGAAAGAGCGAAACUUCCGAUUAAUUUUGCACUUUCGAUUCCGAUUUCGGUUCCGACAAAUUUUAAUCCGAUGUUAUAUCGGAGGUUUAUGGACAGGGUCGGUGCUGCCACAAUUAGUGCGUUUGCGUACAAAUAUGUUUAUACUUGUGGCGUGGGGAACUCAUGCCUUCUGUUGAUUACCUUUGCACUUGUGUUCCUUGAGUAUAAUUUACUUCUUAUCGAGUCACUUAAUUUGUUCUAUUUACAUAUUGGUAUUGUAAUUUAAGAUGUGACAUGUCUCUUCUUUAAUGUUCCGAUUUCGGUUCCGAUAAACCAAAUUGAAAAAGUCCGCUUCCGAAUUCGGUUCCGAUACAACUGCUUCCGUUACAUCCCUACUAUACACUAUGACCGUUGAGUGAAGGAUCUAUCCUUCACUCAACGCUAUGACUAUAACUCUCGCAAGGAAAGAUUGCCGGUCACAGAACACUUGAUCCCGAUCUACAAUCUCUGUUUUUCGUAAGGUGCUAGCGACUUCCGGGAAAGUAUCGUGUCAAUGUUGAACGAAAAGACUUUUUGUUCAACAUUAGCACGAUCCUAUUCCAGAAGUCGCUCGCAUCUUAAUAAAAACAAAGAUUGUAAAUCGACGCACGGUGUGCUGUGACCAGCAAUCUUUCCUGGCGAGAGUUAUAUACGAAUUUAUAGCCAUACCGAUUUUAUGAAGAGACCAAAGCAGAACAGAUUUAUUUUAUGAAUUGAAUCUUUUUUUUUGUUUCCAAGAUGAGGAACGUUAGCAAUAACUGAUAUACCUCAUGUAUAAUUGUUACACAAAGAUCGAUUUAAACCGUUUUUAAAGGAAGGUUUGCAGUUGAAAUAUAAAGGGAGCGUUCGUUUAGGAAUAAAUUGUUUCAUGAAAACUUUUGUAUGUUUAAAUAGAAGUUUGUACUCGAAAUAA